UCUCUUCAGUUCACUACACCCGAUCCUUCUUGCUUUUCUUUCUUAUUUUUCUUCUUCCUUCCUCUUUGUUUCUUCUUCUUUCCUGCUCUUCAUUUUUCUUUUUCUUCGCCUUCUCGCCCGAGUACACAGACAGAGAAAUCAGAGAGCUGAGAGCGAGAGAGUGAGACUUAGAGGGAGACUUGAGAGAACAGAGAGAUCGAGAGAGAUGAGAAGAGAGAUCAGUAGGGCGAGAGAGAGAGAGAAAACACGAUCGAGAGAGAGAGAGAGAGGGCCGAUAGUGGAGGACCCAGACCGAACCGGAGAAGAGAGAACCAGGGGAGGCCGGUCCUCCAUGGGUCGCCGGAGGACGCGACUUCCGACGGCCUGGAGCGCGACUUCCGGUGGGUGAGCUGGGUCGGCGAGGCAGAGCCGAUUUCCGGCGGAACGGAGGUGCGAUUUUCGGUGGGCGACGCCGGUGAGCAAGCUGGGUUUGCAAUGGGUGAUUUCCAGCGACUUGAGGCGAUUUCCAGCAAGUGACAUGGCAGAGACCCAUGAAGCCGAUUCCGCUAUUCUCUCGGUGGAUUUUCUGUGAAAAUCCCCAAAGAUGAUGAAUUGAGACUGCACAAAAGGGCUGUGGGUCAUUACAUCCCCAGUCCCCACUAAGCAGAGCACGCAUUUUUGGUUUUGCUCACAAUGGUGAGGUCCUCCACGACCACAAUGACGUCAUUUCCAACGAUAUAGCUCAAAGGACUACACGCACAGCCUCAUCCACUACUCUGUCGCUGUAAGGGAUCACACCACACUGUCCCGACUCGUUCCCACCAUGCUCAAACUCGCUGAUCUGGAUAGGAACCACACCGAGUCCGACUCCCACGCUCAGGAGUGACUCAGCAACCAGAUCUCCUUUGUCCUCAACCGCCACGACGUGCCAGUGACCAAAUCUCCUCUCUUCCUAUCUCUCUUUCUCUAUAGCCAGCUAGUAUGCGUGGGUUGCUAGAUUUCUGGCCGAAUCUCUGUUGAAAGUAUAUGUUUGGGUCAAGUUGCCUUUUUUUUUUUUCUUCCUUACUGCAAGACAGUUUUUCUUUCUUUGUUUUCCAAGUUGUAUCAAUUCUUGAUUAAAUUUUAGAUUGCAAUUUUAUAUUUUUUUUCAAA